GACGAACGCUGGCGGCAUGCCUAACACAUGCAAGUCGAACGGAGAUUAUUUCGGUAAUCUUAGUGGCGAACGGGUGAGUAACGCGUAGGCAACCUGCCCUUUAGUUGGGGACAACAUCCCGAAAGGGGUGCUAAUACCGAAUGUGACAGUUUUUCCGCAUGGGAUUACUGUGAAAGAUGGCCUCUAUUUAUAAGCUAUCGCUAAAGGAUGGGCCUGCGUCUGAUUAGCUAGUUGGUGGGGUAACGGCCUACCAAGGCGACGAUCAGUAGCCGGUCUGAGAGGGUGACCGGCCACAUUGGGACUGAGACACGGCCCAAACUCCUACGGGAGGCAGCAGUGGGGAAUAUUGGGCAAUGGGCGAAAGCCUGACCCAGCAACGCCGCGUGAAGGAAGAAGGCCUUCGGGUUGUAACGUUCUUUACCUAGGGACGAAGGACGUGACGGUACC
rnacentral:rRNA from 1 species